AACCGCCCUGUUAUCAGAGUGGGACUAAGCCAUGCGAGUUAACGUAGCAAUACGUGGCAUACGGCUCAGUAACACGUAGUCAACAUGCCCAGAGGACGUGGAUAACCUCGGGAAACUGAGGAUAAACCGCGAUAAGUCAUGAUUCCUGGAAUGGUUCAUGGCUGAAAUCUAUAUGGCCUUUGGAUUGGACUGCGGCCGAUCAGGCUGUUGGUGAGGUAAUGGCCCACCAAACCUGUUACCGGUACGGGCUCUGAGAGGAGGAGCCCGGAGAUGGGCACUGAGACAAGGGCCCAGGCCCUAUGGGGCGCAGCAGGCGCGAAACCUCUGCAAUAGGCGAAAGCUUGACAGGGUUACUCUGAGUGAUUUCCGUUAAGGAGAUCUUUUGACACCUCUAAAAAUGGUGUAGAAUAAGGGGUGGGCAAGUCUGGUGUCAGCCGCCGCGGUAAUACCAGCACCCCGAGUGGUCGGGACGAUUAUUGGGCCUAAAGCAUCCGUACCGGUCCUACAAGUCUUCCGUUUAAAUCCACCUGCUCAACAGAUGGGCUGCGGAAGAUACUAUAGGGCUAGAGCGGGAAGGCAGCCGU
rnacentral:rRNA from 1 species